UGUAGAAGAAAUGUGCAUUGGAUAUUAUGUUCACCAUUGUUUAUCAAAAACAAUUAGAUAUCAUGUUUGACAAGGAAAUAAUUGUCAACUAAAGCAAUUUGAUUAAUUUCAUGUUGAGACGCAUGUGAUGUCAUGACGAGGUGACGUCGACGGUCGACCCUGGUGGUCCGAAGCUCUGAGUGGCAACUCUCUCGACUCUUGUCUCGAGGCUCGAGCUUCCUUCUCAGUUCCCAUACUUCACUUGGACAAGAGGAUUUUUCGUGGAAUCGUGAUUCCAUCCAUUGCUUUAUUUUUGAACUGGACCAUAAAACUUGUAUGGCGUAAUGAGGGGGACAAGAAAAAUCACAGAGGGGAAAUAUAGAACGGCAAUCAGUUCUCAGUUAUCCCCGCUAAUCUGCAGUCACGCGUUGCAGCCUUCCUUGCAGGCAACUUGUAUUUUAAAUUUAUUUUAAUACGAGUGUAGACAUCUCAUAAAAAUAAUGUUCAUAUAAGAAAGGGUUGGGGCAAAACAUGCACUCUCUUAACAUGAUGGAGUUAAGUCCCGUAGAUUAUCGAUGUUCCUCAGAGGGAAAAAAAUAUGAACACACCCAAA